ACGGCAUAGCAGCAGCUGUAUUUGCCAGUACAGUUCGCCAGUACAGUUCGUAAUACUUAAUAGUGUUUUCGUGGUAGAAACACUGAGUCAUUAAGAACUGAAAAUACUUGCUUCAUACUCAAAAUUAAUAUUAUUUAUACUUUAUCUACUUCUAUGUAACACCAGUACUAUGCAGAUAUUUCGCAGAGUAUCUUGUCUGAGUGUUUUUAUGAUCCUGGUUCAUUUCCAUGACGUUUUCGUGGGAACCAGCUUGAUCCCUGAUCUCGACGAUCUCCAGAAGCCGCUGCUUUCUAAAUUGCUACGUGAUUGCCCAGAUGACCAUGGUCGGAAUGAUAAACCAAUUAUUGGAAUUUUAUCUCAGGAUAUCAACCAAAAACUGCGAUCAAUAUACGGCACAUACACCACGUCCACGAGAACGACGCCAUCCUUCAUUGCCGC